rnacentral:rRNA from 1 species
AACUGAGACACGGUCCAGACACCUACGGGUGGCAGCAGUCGAGAAUCAUUCACAAUGGGGGAAACCCUGAUGGUGCGACGCCGCGUGGGGGAAUGAAGGUCUUCGGAUUGUAAACCCCUGUCAUGUGGGAGCAAAUUAAAAAGAUAGUACCACAAGAGGAAGAGACGGCUAACUCUGUGCCAGCAGCCGCGGUAAUACAGAGGUCUCAAGCGUUGUUCGGAAUCACUGGGCGUAAAGCGUGCGUAGGCUGUUUCGUAAGUCGUGUGUGAAAGGCGCGGGCUCAACCCGCGGACGGCACAUGAUACUGCGAGACUAGAGUAAUGGAGGGGGAACCGGAAUUCUCGGUGUAGCAGUGAAAUGCGUAGAUAUCGAGAGGAACACUCGUGGCGAAGGCGGGUUCCUGGACAUUAACUGACGCUGAGGCACGAAGGCCAGGGGAGCGAAAGGGAUUAGAUACCCCUGUAGUCCUGGCAGUAAACGGUGCACGCUUGGUGUGCGGGGAAUCGACCCCCUGCGUGCCGGAGCUAACGCGUUAAGCGUGCCGCCUGGGGAGUACGGUCGCAAGAUUAAAACUCAAAGAAAUUGACGGGGACCCGCACAAGCGGUGGAGUAUGUGGCUUAAUUCGAUGCAACGCGAAGAACCUUACCUGGGCUUGACAUGUAAUGAACAACAUGUGAAAGCAUGCGACUCUUCGGAGGCGUUACACAGGUGCUGCAUGGCCGUCGUCAGCUCGUGUCGUGAGAUGUUUGGUUAAGUCCAGCAACGAGCGCAACCCCUGUUGCCAGUUACCAGCACGUGAAGGUGGGGACUCUGGCGAGACUGCCCAGAUCAACUGGGAGGAAGGUGGGGACGACGUCAGGUCAGUAUGGCCCUUAUGCCCAGGGCUGCACACGUACUACAAUGCCCAGUACAGAGGGGGCCGAAGCCGCGAGGCGGAGGAAAUCCUGAAAACUGGGCCCAGUUCGGACUGUAGGCUGCAACCCGCCUACACGAAGCCGGAAUCGCUAGUAAUGGCGCAUCAGCUACGGCGCCGUGAAUACGUUCCCGGGUCUUGUACACACCGCCCGUCACAUCAUGGAAGCCGGUCGCACCCGAAGUAUCUGAAGCCAACCGCAAGGAGGCAGGGUCCUAAGGUGAGACUGGUAACUGGGAUGAAGUCGUAACAAGGUAGCCGUAGGGGAACCUGCGGCUG